rnacentral:rRNA from 2 species
UUCGGUCGGGAACUCAAAGGAGACUGCCAGUGAUAAACUGGAGGAAGGUGGGGAUGACGUCAAGUCAUCAUGGCCCUUACGACCAGGGCUACACACGUGCUACAAUGGCGCAUACAAAGAGAAGCGACCUCGCGAGAGCAAGCGGACCUCAUAAAGUGCGUCGUAGUCCGGAUUGGAGUCUGCAACUCGACUCCAUGAAGUCGGAAUCGCUAGUAAUCGUGGAUCAGAAUGCCACGGUGAAUACGUUCCCGGGCCUUGUACACACCGCCCGUCACACCAUGGGAGUGGGUUGCAAAAGAAGUAGGUAGCUUAACCUUCGGGAGGGCGCUUACCACUUUGUGAUUCAUGACUGGGGUGAAGUCGUAACAAGGUAACCGUAGGGGAACCUGCGGUUGGAUCACCUCCUUACCUUAAAGAAGC